AUACAUGAGCAAAAUCUCAACUUUAUUAGAAGAGACGCAUUUAUUAGAUAAAAAGCCAAUGCAUGCUUUUACAGUAUGGAAAUUGGUGAUUUAUAAUAACUUGGCAAAUCGCAAAGUGAAAACAGGCGAUAAAUCAUUCAAGUUUCUGACCUAUCAGCUUUCGACGGUAUGGUAUUGGCUUACCGUGGCAGUGACGGUUAACGGGGGAUUAGGGUUCGAUUCCGGAGAGGGAGCCUGAGAAACGGCUACCACAUCUAAGGAAGGCAGCAGGCGCGCAAAUUACCCAAUUCUAACAGUUUGAGAGAGGUAGUAACAAGAAAUAACAAUACAAGGCAAUUAAAAUGCUUUGUAAUUGGAAUGAUAGAAAUUUAAACCCUUUUUAAAGUAUCAAUUGGAGGGCAAGUCUGGUGCCAGCAGCCGCGGUAAUUCCAGCUCCAAUAGCGUAUAUUAAAAUUGUUGCAGUUAAAAAGCUCGUAGUUGAAGUUCUGCUAAAAGUAACCGGUCUGCUUUUAAUAAAAGUGGUAUCUUGGUGUGUAUUUAGCAAUGAUGUCCUUUGAAGUGUUUUUUACUUUAUUGUAAUAAAGCAUAUUCAGGACUUUUACUUUGAGAAAAUUAGAGUGUUUCUAGCAGGCCGACGCUUUGAAUACUGCAGCAUGGAAUAA
rnacentral:rRNA from 1 species